GAGUUUGAUCCUGGCUCAGGAUGAACGCUGGCGGCGUGCUUAACACAUGCAAGUCGAACGGGAAAUAUUUCAUUGAGACUUCGGUGGAUUUGAUCUAUUUCUAGUGGCGGACGGGUGAGUAACGCGUGGGUAACCUGCCUUAUACAGGGGGAUAACAGUCAGAAAUGGCUGCUAAUACCGCAUAAGCGCACAGAGCUGCAUGGCUCAGUGUGAAAAACUCCGGUGGUAUAAGAUGGACCCGCGUUGGAUUAGCUGGUUGGUGGGGUAACGGCCCACCAAGGCGACGAUCCAUAGCCGGCCUGAGAGGGUGGACGGCCACAUUGGGACUGAGACACGGCCCAGACUCCUACGGGAGGCAGCAGUGGGGAAUAUUGCACAAUGGGGGAAACCCUGAUGCAGCGACGCCGCGUGAGCGAAGAAGUAUUUCGGUAUGUAAACCUCUAUCAGCAGGGAAGAAAAUGACGGUACCUGACUAAGAAGCCCCGGCUAACUACGUGCCAGCCGCCGCGGUAAUAC
rnacentral:rRNA from 1 species